CUUCUUCAGAGUUCAGAGCUGCCUGUGUCAGCAGUUCAUGGAUGCUCUGUGGUUGCAGCACUGGAGAGGCAUUGGCACAUUCACAUUUUGCUAUAGUGUGUAUAUCGUGAGUAAAUCAGGCUGAUUCUAUGAUUCUGUAUCUAAUACUGAUGAUAGGAGAUCUCUGUGGCUUCUUAUUUCAGAACAAGCUGGAUAUCUCCCUCCCACCAUAUAUUACCAUCUUAGUUUCAAGCUCCAAUGACGUGUAAGUUCUGGAAUUGAGUGCUUUUAAACAGUUUUUUCCCCCCUUUAAUCAAAUGGAUGGGCUGGUCCAAGCUGUCACAUUUUGCUGUCGGAUAGGUAGGGCUGGGCUGUCUUUCCAAAAGGUGUGUGGGAGAACUCUGACUUCACUGUGCUCUGGUGCAUUGCGUAAGCUGAGUUGUAUUUUUUAAAAUACACUCAAUGACCUCACAAGAAAGUGUUCUCUUUUGUUUAAGAUACGAUGAAAUAAAGCCUGAUGAUCUUCAAAGCAGCUUAAGAUGAGUACAGAAUCGGGGUGAUAUUCUCAAGAAUGCAUUUGGAAAUAAUAUAAAAGUUAUGUAACGAUUACAGUAAAAGCUGGGGAGCCUAAAGGCCGGUGACGUGAAAUACUGCUGGAUGCACUUGCAUUAUUGAACAGACCAUGGAAGGCAAUUGACGAAGCUGGCACUGAAAGCUGCCAGACAGAACAGAACCUUCAGGCAGUUGGUUAAAGCAUGAGUAAAAAAAGGCCCCUUUCUGUACCAAUAACACGUUCAGGGGCAAUGUGGAGAAUUUUCAAGCAGUUCAGUUCAUUUGUAUGCUUCAUUUUUUAUGUCUUCCAUGGAGAAUAAUGAUACCAUAGAGGAUAAUCACAUUCACCUUGUUCAUACCUUGCAGUGUGACCACGCCAUGACAGUGCAGGCAAAGACUGGGUGACAGUUAAAGCAUUGCCUUUGCUAAUAGGAUGCCUCCAGAGUUGUGUGGGAAAAUGUGACAUUAACGUGGGGAAAAAAAGGGAAUUCUGGUAAAAGUAUUACAGCUUUUUGCAUGUUUAUUGCACUGCUCUCUCUGAAGGAGUGACUGAAGGAACUGGGGCUGUGUAGUCUGGGGAAGAGAAGGCUGAGGAGAGACCUUAUUGGUCUCUUCCAAUAUCUGAAAGGUGCUUACAGCGAGAGCUGGGCUGGUCUCUUCUCACUGCUGACAGGUGACAGGACGAGGGGAAUGGCCUCAAGCUGUGCCGGGGGAGGUUUAGGUUGGAUAUCAGGAAACAAUUCUGUACAGAAUGGGUGGUUGAGUCACCAUCCACGGAUGUGUUUAAAAGCUGUUUGGAUGUGGUGCUCAGAGAUAUGAUUUAGCGGAGGGUUGUUAGUUAGGGUAGCAUGGUUAGGUUGUGGUUGGAUUUGGCAGUCUUUAAGGUCUUCUCCAACCUGAGCAAUUCUAUGAUUCUAUGAUUCUAAGGAGCAUCCUUCUGGAGAAACAUAUACGUGUACAGGUGUAUGUGGGAAUAUAGGUUGUUCUGUUCCUGCACAGUCCAGCCCACCUGGGUCCUGCUGACAGUAUGCAGUUUCUUUGGCCUGGUUCCUUCAUUUCUGUGUGUCUGAGGGAAUGCAACUGCUCCAUUUCCAUCCUUAUCAGCCGAAUUCAAUAGCAGCACUGUAGUGAACGCGGCUCCGCCCAAGAGCGAGCUCCUUCAGCGCUGCGGCGGGCAGCCCACCCCGCGGGGCGCAGGCCAGGAGGGGGCGCUUCCUCCGCAGCGCGCCGCGGUGCUGUGCUAUGGCGCCCCCUGGCGGCGGCUGCGCCCCAUCCCGCCUCGAGUUCCCG
ensembl:lncRNA